GACUUACAAGGACAAGAAUAACGUCGUUUGGAGUUGGAGGUGCAUCGAAGAGAAAUGUGGGUUAGUACAUCGAGCAUGCUCCUUCAGCAAAUCCAGCUAGUUCGGCGAAACGUCGAGUACGACAACUAAUAAAUUCUAAUUUAAAAUCAGUGUCGCAAGAGAAGGUCUUCUAAGAGCGGGCCAUUUCUCAGUGUGUUACUCGUGCAGCUCAUUCGUUUCACCGUCCCGAACGGCGUAACCGUCGCUCCUGACACCGUGAUAAACAGCCGCCUCUGUCGAUAUUCAAUUACGUCGAAUGCUCGUGCGAAGCGAAGCAAGGCCCCGAAAUUAGCUGGCAUCUCGACCGAUACGAAUACGGACCGAGCAUGAAACCGUGUCUAACGAGCGUUCGCUCGCCCGUCCAAGGGGUUUUGUACGAAACUAGCCUGCAGACAUCGGUGGCAAAUGAUCACUGCGGUCGUAGAAGUCUAGCGGAACUAGGAUUAUCCAGAUAUCUAUGGAUAUAUCUGACGCUUAGGAACGUGGCAUUUUAACACUCAAGAAGAUCUCAAACGCUUAAUCGACGUCGUAUCACCAAAGAAAAAGUUAGAAAGGAGAGAUUUCGAGGAUGACUACGGACAGGCGUCCGCUCUAUAUCAGCUUUUACACUGACUCCCUUCGUGACAGUUACCACCGUGCCGUUCGAAGAUGCUCAUUCUACAAAGUUAUUGCCAACAGCUGUACAACUUUUUUCGAUCGUUUCGUUCGCGCUCCGAAAAUUAUCGCCUACCAGGCGAACGCUUUACGAUGAAGACGCAAGCAUAACCUUCUCUUCCGAUCGAGCGUUCUUUAUACGUCCAUAAAGGGAAAUUAAUGUUCUGGAUGGUAAUGGUAAAUGGAGUGGAAAGAAGACAAGAAAUCGUAAGAUAAACGACAUCGGG